AUGCUACUAACGUUUAAACUUGCAGCAUGUGAAGCAACUUGUGGUUGGAUGGUUAGGAGUACAGUGGUAUCCCCUGCCCACCAGAGUUCGACUUCCAGACUUGACAUUGGUGCUCACAUUUCCUGGAUUUAUUGCAGGACUUCUGGUGAUUUAUGUUCUUUAUUCAUGGACAUUAUUAUGUUGAUAUCAAUUACUUCAUCGUUUCUCAAUACUCAUAUCAUAAAAGAUUACAUGAUAAACAUGUUGGUAGCAUUCAACAUAAAAAUUUAUCUUUGUUUUAUCAUUUACCUCCUCAUGGACGAGCAGGAAUUAAGAUUGGGGAUGCUGAUUCGUCUUUGA
rnacentral:rRNA from 1 species